rnacentral:rRNA from 1 species
UACAGAGGGUGCGAGCGUUGUUCAGAAUUAUUGGGCGUAAAGGGCGCGUAGGCGGUGCGGUAAGUCACCUGUGAAAUCUCCUGGCUCAACUGGGAGCUUGCAGGCGAAACUGCCGUGCUGGAGUGUGGGAGAGGUGCGUGGAAUUCCUGGUGUAGCGGUGAAAUGCGUAGAUAUCAGGAAGAACACCCGUGGCGAAGGCGGCUCUCUGGAACGCAACUGACGCUCAGACACGACAGCAUGGGGAGCGAACGGG